UGCAAGUCGAACGGCAGCACGGAGCUUGCUCUGGUGGCGAGUGGCGAACGGGUGAGUAAUAUAUCGGAACGUACCCUGGAGUGGGGGAUAACGAGGCGAAAGCUUUGCUAAUACCGCAUACGAUCUCAGGAUGAAAGCAGGGGACCGCAAGGCCUUGCGCUAACGGAGCGGCCGAUGGCAAAUUAGGUAGUUGGUGGGAUAAAAGCUUACCAAGCCGACGAUCUGUAGCUGGUCUGAGAGGAUGAUCAGCCACACUGGGACUGAGACACGGCCCAGACUCCUACGGGAGGCAGCAGUGGGGAAUUUUGGACAAUGGGGGCAACCCUGAUCCAGCCAUGCCGCGUGCAGGAUGGAGGCCUUCGGGUUGUAAACUGCUUUUGUACGGAACGAAAAGGCUCUUUCUAAUAAAUGGGGCUCAUGACGGUACCGUAAGAAUAAGCACCGGCUAACUACGUGCCAGCAGCCGCGGUAAU
rnacentral:rRNA from 1 species